UACAGAGGUCUCAAGCGUUGUUCGGAUUCAUUGGGCGUAAAGGGUGCGUAGGUGGCGUGGUAAGUCGGGUGUGAAAUUUCGGAGCUUAACUCCGAAACUGCAUUCGAUACUGCCGUGCUUGAGGACUGGAGAGGAGACUGGAAUUUACGGUGUAGCAGUGAAAUGCGCAGAGAUCGUAAGGAAGACCAGUGGCGAAGGCGGGGCUCUGGACAGUUCCUGACACUGAGGCACGAAGGCCAGGGGAGCAAACGGG
rnacentral:rRNA from 1 species